rnacentral:rRNA from 1 species
GCACCCGCGGUAAUUCCAGCACCAAUAGCGUAUAUUAAUGCUGCUGCUGUUAAAAAGCUCGUAGUUGGAUCAAGGGCUCGACUGUGCAGGGCGGCCCUGUUUGACUCGAUAGGCCCUGCUUACCGGGUCGGCAGCGGGUAAACCUCCUGCGCUACGCAGUCGACUCUAACAGGCUGAAACGGUUCCCUGUGAGUAGGGUACUUAAUUGGACCUGAAAGCGACUACGCAUCAACCAUAUGCAUACGGGACGUCGGCCAAUGUUACUGUGAACAAACCAGCGUGUCCAAGGCAGGCUUGCGCCUGAACGUUCGAGCAUGGAAUAACAAGGGAUCGAUUCUCUCGGUUCUUUUUGUUGGUUUUUAACCCGAGAAGGAGUAAUUCAGUCCACGGUGUCUGAAUUGGGUUUCCCCAGCUUUCGGGUUGGGCCCCAAUUAGGCCGUGUACUUACGGGAUAAAUAGGGACUGACGGGGUCGUACGUACUUCCACGUCAGAGGUGAAAUUCUUAGAUCGUGGGAAGACGAACUUCUGCGAAAGCAUUCGACAAGAAUGUCUUCAUUAAUCAAGAACGAGAGUGUGGGGAUCGAAGAUGAUCAGAUACCGUCGUAGUCCACUACUGUAAACAAUGCCGUCUCAGGAUUGAGAAGUUAUCAUUAUGUCCUUCACAGCACUAACCCCUGAAACGAGAAAUCAAAGAUUAUGGGUUCAGGGGGGAGUACAUUCGCAAGGCUGAAACUUAAAGGAAUUGACGGAAUGACACCACAAGGCGUGGAGUAUGCGGCUUAAUUUGACUCAACACGGGGGAUUUUACUAGGUCAGGACAAUGUAAGGAUUGACAGAUUGAGAGCUCUUUCUCGAUCCAUUGUGUGGUGGUGCAUGGCCGCUCCUGGUUGGUGGAGUGAUUUGUCUGGUUGAUUCCGUUGACGAACGAGAUCUCGACCCUUAAAUAGGUGCCCAUGUCGAAUGUAGUCUUGGUUCCGCUCGCUUGCGAGAUUGGUCCAGGACGAGACUGUGGGAAUACUUCUUAAGGGGACUGUAUGCGUCUAUAGCAUGCGGAAGAGCGAGCCAAUAGCAGGUCUGUGAUGCUCCUAAAUGUCCUAGGCUGCACGCGCACUACACUGAUGCAAUAAACGAGUCUGAGUGCCUUCUGGCAACCUACCUGGAAGCAGGUGGGAAAUCUUUUGAACUUGCAUCGUGAUGAG